ACUAAGCGUACACGGUGGAUGCCCUGGCAGUCAGAGGCGAUGAAGGACGUGCUAAUCUGCGAUAAGCGUCGGUAAGGUGAUAUGAACCGUUAUAACCGGCGAUUUCCGAAUGGGGAAACCCAGUGUGAUUCGUCACACUAUCAUUAACUGAAUCCAUAGGUUAAUGAGGCGAACCGGGGGAACUGAAACAUCUAAGUACCCCGAGGAAAAGAAAUCAACCGAGAUUCCCCCAGUAGCGGCGAGCGAACGGGGAGCAGCCCAGAGCCUGAAUCAGUGUGUGUGUUAGUGGAAGCGUCUGGAAAGGCGCGCGAUACAGGGUGACAGCCCCGUACACAAAAAUGCACAUGCUGUGAGCUCGAUGAGUAGGGCGGGACACGUGGUAUCCUGUCUGAAUAUGGGGGGACCAUCCUCCAAGGCUAAAUACUCCUGACUGACCGAUAGUGAACCAGUACCGUGAGGGAAAGGCGAAAAGAACCCCAGCGAGGGGAGUGAAAAAGAACCUGAAACCGUGUACGUACAAGCAGUGGGAGCACGCUUAGGCGUGUGACUGCGUACCUUUUGUAUAAUGGGUCAGCGACUUAUAUUCUGUAGCAAGGUUAACCGAAUAGGGGAGCCGAAGGGAAACCGAGUCUUAACUGGGCGUUAAGUUGCAGGGUAUAGACCCGAAACCCGGUGAUCUAGCCAUGGGCAGGUUGAAGGUUGGGUAACACUAACUGGAGGACCGAACCGACUAAUGUUGAAAAAUUAGCGGAUGACUUGUGGCUGGGGGUGAAAGGCCAAUCAAACCGGGAGAUAGCUGGUUCUCCCCGAAAGCUAUUUAGGUAGCGCCUCGUGAAUUCAUCUCCGGGGGUAGAGCACUGUUUCGGCAAGGGGGUCAUCCCGACUUACCAACCCGAUGCAAACUGCGAAUACCGGAGAAUGUUAUCACGGGAGACACACGGCGGGUGCUAACGUCCGUCGUGAAGAGGGAAACAACCCAGACCGCCAGCUAAGGUCCCAAAGUCAUGGUUAAGUGGGAAACGAUGUGGGAAGGCCCAGACAGCCAGGAUGUUGGCUUAGAAGCAGCCAUCAUUUAAAGAAAGCGUAAUAGCUCACUGGUCGAGUCGGCCUGCGCGGAAGAUGUAACGGGGCUAAACCAUGCACCGAAGCUGCGGCAGCGACGCUGAUGCGUUGUUGGGUAGGGGAGCGUUCUGUAAGCCUGUGAAGGUGUACUGUGAGGUAUGCUGGAGGUAUCAGAAGUGCGAAUGCUGACAUAAGUAACGAUAAAGCGGGUGAAAAGCCCGCUCGCCGGAAGACCAAGGGUUCCUGUCCAACGUUAAUCGGGGCAGGGUGAGUCGACCCCUAAGGCGAGGCCGAAAGGCGUAGUCGAUGGGAAACAGGUUAAUAUUCCUGUACUUGGUGUUACUGCGAAGGGGGGACGGAGAAGGCUAUGUUGGCCGGGCGACGGUUGUCCCGGUUUAAGCGUGUAGGCUGGUUUUCCAGGCAAAUCCGGAAAAUCAAGGCUGAGGCGUGAUGACGAGGCACUACGGUGCUGAAGCAACAAAUGCCCUGCUUCCAGGAAAAGCCUCUAAGCAUCAGGUAACAUCAAAUCGUACCCCAAACCGACACAGGUGGUCAGGUAGAGAAUACCAAGGCGCUUGAGAGAACUCGGGUGAAGGAACUAGGCAAAAUGGUGCCGUAACUUCGGGAGAAGGCACGCUGAUAUGUAGGUGAAGUCCCUCGCGGAUGGAGCUGAAAUCAGUCGAAGAUACCAGCUGGCUGCAACUGUUUAUUAAAAACACAGCACUGUGCAAACACGAAAGUGGACGUAUACGGUGUGACGCCUGCCCGGUGCCGGAAGGUUAAUUGAUGGGGUCAGCGCAAGCGAAGCUCUUGAUCGAAGCCCCGGUAAACGGCGGCCGUAACUAUAACGGUCCUAAGGUAGCGAAAUUCCUUGUCGGGUAAGUUCCGACCUGCACGAAUGGCGUAAUGAUGGCCAGGCUGUCUCCACCCGAGACUCAGUGAAAUUGAACUCGCUGUGAAGAUGCAGUGUACCCGCGGCAAGACGGAAAGACCCCGUGAACCUUUACUAUAGCUUGACACUGAACAUUGAGCCUUGAUGUGUAGGAUAGGUGGGAGGCUUGGAAGUGUGGACGCCAGUCUGCAUGGAGCCGACCUUGAAAUACCACCCUUUAAUGUUUGAUGUUCUAACGUUGACCCGUAAUCCGGGUUGCGGACAGUGUCUGGUGGGUAGUUUGACUGGGGCGGUCUCCUCCUAAAGAGUAACGGAGGAGCACGAAGGUUGGCUAAUCCUGGUCGGACAUCAGGAGGUUAGUGCAAUGGCAUAAGCCAGCUUGACUGCGAGCGUGACGGCGCGAGCAGGUGCGAAAGCAGGUCAUAGUGAUCCGGUGGUUCUGAAUGGAAGGGCCAUCGCUCAACGGAUAAAAGGUACUCCGGGGAUAACAGGCUGAUACCGCCCAAGAGUUCAUAUCGACGGCGGUGUUUGGCACCUCGAUGUCGGCUCAUCACAUCCUGGGGCUGAAGUAGGUCCCAAGGGUAUGGCUGUUCGCCAUUUAAAGUGGUACGCGAGCUGGGUUUAGAACGUCGUGAGACAGUUCGGUCCCUAUCUGCCGUGGGCGCUGGAGAACUGAGGGGGGCUGCUCCUAGUACGAGAGGACCGGAGUGGACGCAUCACUGGUGUUCGGGUUGUCAUGCCAAUGGCACUGCCCGGUAGCUAAAUGCGGAAGAGAUAAGUGCUGAAAGCAUCUAAGCACGAAACUUGCCCCGAGAUGAGUUCUCCCUGACUCCUUGAGAGUCCUGAAGGAACGUUGAAGACGACGACGUUGAUAGGCCGGGUGUGUAAGCGCAGCGAUGCGUUGAGCUAACCGGUACUAAUGAACCGUGAGGCUUAACC
rnacentral:rRNA from 1 species